AUUGAACGCUGGCGGCAUGCUUUACACAUGCCAGUCGAACGGUAACAGGCCGCAAGUUGCUGACGAGUGGUGAACGGGUGAGUAAUGCAUCGGAACGGGUCCAGUCGUUGGGGAUAACUACUCGAUUGAGGAACUAGUACCUCAUACGAUCUAUGGAUGAAAACGGGGUACUUCAAGGCCGCGCGCGAUUGGAGCGGCCGAUGUCAGAUUAGUUAGUUGGUGAGGUAACGGCUCACCAAGCCAACGAUCCCUAGCUGGUCUGAGAGGACGAGCAGCCACACUGGAACUGAGACACGGCCCAGACUCCUACGGGAGGCAGCAGUGGGGAAUUUUGGACAAUGGGCGCAAGCCUGAUCCAGCAAUGCCGCGUGCAGGAAGAAGGCCUUCGGGUUGUAAACUGCUUUUGUAAGGAACGAAACGGCUCUGGUUAAUACCCGGGGAUAAUGACGGUACCGUAAGAAUAAGCAACGGCUAACUACGUG
rnacentral:rRNA from 1 species